rnacentral:rRNA from 1 species
GUGUCAGCAGCCGCGGUAAGACGUAGGAUGCGAGCGUUGUCCGGAUUUAUUGGGCGUAAAGAGUUCGUAGGCGGUUCGUUAAGUUCGAUGUUAAAGACCGGGGCCUAACCCCGGGACUGCAUUGAAUACUGGCGGACUGGAGUGCGGUAGAGGCAAGUGGAAUUCCCAGUGUAGCGGUGAAAUGCGUAGAUAUUGGGAAGAACACCAGUGGCGUAAGCGACUUGCUGGGCCGUAACUGACGCUGAGGAACGAAAGCCAGGGUAGCGAAUGGGAUUAGAUACCCCCGUAGUCC